rnacentral:rRNA from 1 species
GACGAACGCUGGCGGCGUGCCUAAUACAUGCAAGUAGAACGCUGAAGGAGGAGCUUGCUUCUCUGGAUGAGUUGCGAACGGGUGAGUAACGCGUAGGUAACCUGCCUGGUAGCGGGGGAUAACUAUUGGAAACGAUAGCUAAUACCGCAUAAGAGUAGAUGUUGCAUGACAUUUGCUUAAAAGGUGCAAUUGCAUCACUACCAGAUGGACCUGCGUUGUAUUAGCUAGUUGGUGGGGUAACGGCUCACCAAGGCGACGAUACAUAGCCGACCUGAGAGGGGGAUCGGCCACACUGGGACUGAGACACGGCCCAGACUACUACGGGAGGCAGCAGUAGGGAAUCUUCGGCAAUGGACGGAAGUCUGACCGAGCAACGCCGCGUGAGUGAAGAAGGUUUUCGGAUCGUAAAGCUCUGUUGUAAGAGAAGAACGAGUGUGAGAGUGGAAAGUUCACACUGUGACGGUAUCUUACCAGAAAGGGACGGCUAACUACGUG